GACGUUAGCGGCGGACGGGUGAGUAACACGUGGAUAACCUACCUAUAAGACUGGGAUAACUUCGGGAAACCGGAGCUAAUACCGGAUAACAUAUUGAACCGCAUGGUUCAAUAGUGAAAGGCGGCUUUGCUGUCACUUAUAGAUGGAUCCGCGCCGUAUUAGCUAGUUGGUAAGGUAACGGCUUACCAAGGCAACGAUACGUAGCCGACCUGAGAGGGUGAUCGGCCACACUGGAACUGAGACACGGUCCAGACUCCUACGGGAGGCAGCAGUAGGGAAUCUUCCGCAAUGGGCGAAAGCCUGACGGAGCAACGCCGCGUGAGUGAUGAAGGUCUUCGGAUCGUAAAACUCUGUUAUCAGGGAAGAACAAAUGUGUAAGUAACUGUGCACAUCUUGACGGUACCUGAUCAGAAAGCCACGGCUAACUACGUGCCAGCAGCCGCGGUAAUACGUAGGUGGCAAGCGUUAUCCGGAAUUAUUGGGCGUAAAGCGCGCGUA
rnacentral:rRNA from 1 species